UACGUAGGGGGCAAGCGUUGUCCGGAUUUAUUGGGCGUAAAGAGCGUGUAGGCGGCCAGACAGGUCCGUUGUGAAAACUCGAGGCUCAACCUCGAGACGCCGAUGGAAACCGUCUGGCUAGAGUCCGGAAGAGGAGAGUGGAAUUCCUGGUGUAGCGGUGAAAUGCGUAGAUAUCUGGAGGAAUACCGGUGGCGAAGGCGGCAUCCUGGACCGGCAUUGACGCUGAACAGCGAAAGCUAGGGGAGCAAACGGG
rnacentral:rRNA from 1 species